UACAGAGGGUGCGAGCGUUAAUCGGAAUUACUGGGCGUAAAGCGCACGUAGGCGGCUUUCUAAGUCAGGGGUGAAAUCCUGGAGCUCAACUCCAGAACUGCCUUUGAUACUGGAGAGCUUGAGUCCGGAAGAGGUGAGUGGAACUCCGAGUGUAGAGGUGAAAUUCGUAGAUAUUCGGAAGAACACCAGUGGCGAAGGCGGCUCACUGGUCCGGUACUGACGCUGAGGUGCGAAAGCGUGGGGAGCAAACAGG
rnacentral:rRNA from 1 species